CCUACGGGUGGCAGCAGUGGGGAAUAUUGGACAAUGGGCGAAAGCCUGAUCCAGCCAUGCCGCGUGUGUGAAGAAGGCCUUCGGGUUGUAAAGCACUUUCAGUGGGGAAGAAAGCCUUGGGGCUAAUACCCUCGAGGAAGGACAUCACCCACAGAAGAAGCACCGGCUAACUCCGUGCCAGCAGCCGCGGUAAUACGGAGGGUGCGAGCGUUAAUCGGAAUUACUGGGCGUAAAGCGCGCGUAGGCGGUCUGAUAAGCCGGUUGUGAAAGCCCCGGGCUCAACCUGGGAACGGCAUCCGGAACUGUCAGGCUAGAGUGCAGGAGAGGAAGGUAGAAUUCCAGGUGUAGCGGUGAAAUGCGUAGAGAUCGGGAGGAAUACCAGUGGCGAAGGCGGCCUUCUGGACUGACACUGACGCUGAGGUGCGAAAGCGUGGGUAGCAAACAGGAUUAGAUACCCCGGUAGUC
rnacentral:rRNA from 1 species